ACUCUUACUUUAGUUUAUUCCCUAGCACACCACUUUGAGAUGUGUGUGGGAUAUUCUAGGUAUGGCGAAGUAUGUAUGGUGGUUGUGAGUGGUCAAUAAAGAAUCGGUCACUCCUUGUAGGAGGAGAGAACCUUCUAUAUGAUCUCAUAGGAUGAUGACUCUGAGGGUCUCUGGCCAAAGCAAGGAUGAACAGUAGAGAAUAUUUUUACUAGUUCAUCAAUCGAGUCAUUAUCAUCAGAUUGAGAUACAUAUGGAUAGGUAUUGGGUUUGACAUAUUUCUAUACCCAUGGC
rnacentral:lncRNA from 1 species